rnacentral:lncRNA from 1 species
AGAGCCUCAGCCCCCUGUUUGCAAGAGCUUGUGAGCUAAAGCGUGCCAGGCCCUGAGUGCGAGGCUGGGAUGAACUGGCAUUCCUGCUGGCUCUGGCCUCUGGGACAGCACCUCCUCCAGCUCACUGCCCUCCACCCUUCCAGCUACAGCUCCCUCCGGUGCCCCAGAACCGCCCGGCACUCCGGGGCUCCCAGGUUCAUCUGGGCAUGACUCCGCCCUCCCGACAGAGCCCUCUGCACACCCCCUCCCCACCCUGGCCCAUCGCAGCUCUUCACGAAGACGCUUCAUGGAAUGGGUGAUUUUCCUAAGCACUUUUCUUUCCAUGAUCUCAUUUGGUCCUCACAGCACCUGGAGGAGGGCAGACAGGCUGUUGCUCCAUUUUACAGAUUUUCCAGACCAGGCUUUCUGAGAGGCUGUUAAUGAGCCAAACCAUUCUGCUAACCGUCGUUUUCAGAAGGGCCACCCGGCUCACGGUUCUCUUUAUUCAGGCAAAGCCAUCAAGACCCCGGGUCUUCCUCUGUGGCCCAGGCUGGAGUGCAGUAGCGCA